rnacentral:rRNA from 1 species
UGGGUAACCUGCCCUUAACUCUGGGAUAAGCCUGGGAAACUGGGUCUAAUACCGGAUAUGACUCCUCAUCGCAUGGUGGGGGGUGGAAAGCUUUAUUGCGGUUUUGGAUGGACUCGCGGCCUAUCAGCUUGUUGGUGUGGGUAAUGGCCCACCAAGGCGACGACGGGUAGCCGGCCUGAGAGGGUGACCGGCCACACUGGGACUGAGACACGGCCCAGACUCCUACGGGAGGCAG